rnacentral:rRNA from 1 species
UCGGGAAUUUUGGGCAAUGGGCGAAAGCCUGACCCAGCAACGCCGCGUGAAGGAUGAAGUAUUUCGGUAUGUAAACUUCGAAAGAAUAGGAAGAAUAAAUGACGGUACUAUUUAUAAGGUCCGGCUAACUACGUGCCAGCAGCCGCGGUAAUACGUAGGGACCAAGCGUUGUUCGGAUUUACUGGGCGUAAAGGGCGCGUAGGCGGCAAUUCAAGUCAUCUGUGAAAUCUCCGGGCUUAACUCGGAACGGUCAGAUGAUACUGCUUUGCUAGAGUGCAGAAGGGGCAAUCGGAAUUCUUGGUGUAGCGGUGAAAUGCGUAGAUAUCAAGAGGAACACCUGAGGUGAAGACGGGUUGCUGGGCUGGACACUGACGCUGAGGCGCGAAAGCCAGGGGAGCAAACGGGAUUAGAUACCCAAGUAGUCCCUGAGCGGGCUGGCAAGGCG